UUCCCCUAGUAACUGCGAGUGAAGCGGGAAAAGCUCAAAUUUAAAAUCUGGCAGUCUUUGGCUGUCCGAGUUGUAGUCUGGAGAAGUGUUUUCCGCGCUGGACCGUGUACAAGUCCCUUGGAAUAGGGCGUCAUAGAGGGUGAGAAUCCCGUCUUUGACACGGACUACCAGUGCUUUGUGAUGCGCUCUCAAAGAGUCGAGUUGUUUGGGAAUGCAGCUCAAAAUGGGUGGUAAAUUCCAUCUAAAGCUAAAUAUUGGCGAGAGACCGAUAGCGAACAAGUACCGUGAGGGAAAGAUGAAAAGCACUUUGGAAAGAGAGUUAAACAGUACGUGAAAUUGCUGAAAGGGAAACGAUUGAAGUCAGUCGCGUCGUGCAGAACUCAGCCUGGCUUUUGCUUGGUGUAUUUUCUGCAUGACGGGCCAGCAUCAGUUUUGGCCGCUGGAAAAGGGUUUCAGGAAUGUGGCACCUUCGGGUGUGUUAUAGCCUGGGGUCGUAUACAGCGGCUGGGACUGAGGAUCGCAGUGCGCCUUUAUGGCUGGGGUUCGCCCAC
rnacentral:rRNA from 1 species